CUUGCUCUAACUCACCAUUUACCCUCUACAGGGGACACAGCAGGCUUUCUGGUAGUGAGGCUAGACAUACUUUUCUCCCCACAGUUUUCAGGCUUCUGUUUUGAUGCUGCUGGUUCUUUGCGUUGACUCGCAAUCACUGAGUAAUUCUCGUUACCUCUCCUGACUGGAGGUGAUGAAGACAAUUUCUCCCACCCCCUUCACUGGUGCUCAGAAUUUGGGUGCUAAGGAGAGAGGAACUUUGUCACUGUACAUGGCUGUGGAGAUUCCUCUCUCUAGCAAUGCUCUCUCUGUGGUCCUGGGAGGUGGAGCAGGGACAGGGAGCCAGGCAGAAGUGGGCCUCCUGGCAGGUUCAUGUCACCUUUUAGGGGAAAUAAAACCUUUUAACUACACACUUUGGGAUUCCUGUGUAAUCUGCCCUUGUGGUUUGACUGGGCAUGGGAUGGGGUGGGCAGGUAGAGGCAAGCUUGUCAGUUAGCUGCAGUCAGAUGAGAGAGUCUCAUGAAGAAUCUAAUAUUGGAUGGGGAAUGAGGAUUACCUAGAUGUACACAGAAUGCCAAGCAUUGCCUCAGUUAGAGUUUCAUUGCUGGGAAGAGACACCACGACCAUGGCAACUCUUAUAAAGGACAACAUUUAAUUGAGGCUUGCGUACAGUUUCAUUAUCAUUAUGGCUGGAAGCAUGGCAGCAUGUACACAGACAUGGAGCUGGUGCAGCUGAGAGUUCUACACCUUGAUCCGAAAGCACCCAGGAGGAGACUGUCCUCAGCAGGCAGUCAGGAGCAGUGAGUGACGCUUGAACACUAGGAGCCCUCAAUCUACAGAACUGCAGGACAUCCUUCCUCUAACAAGGCCACACCCACUCCAACAAGGCCACACCUCCUAAUAGUGCCCCUUCCCAUGGAAGCACCACCACAAGCGUGUUGUAGGUGGAAACCCAAUAAAUGCAUCCACAUGUUUUGUUCUCCUCUCCCUAGUCUUCACUUCUCCUCCUUCUAGCCCCUGUCUACUUUUCACUUCCCAGGUUAACUG
rnacentral:lncRNA from 1 species